GAUGAACGCUGGCGGCGUGCUUAACACAUGCAAGUCGAACGAACCUUCGGGUUAGUGGCGGACGGGUGAGUAACGCGUGAGAAUCUGCCCUCAGGAGGGGGAUAACGGUUGGAAACGACCGCUAAUACCCCAUAUGCCUAUUGGUGAAAUGAAUUUCGCCUGAGGAUGAGCUCGCGUCUGAUUAGCUUGUUGGUGAGGUAAUGGCUCACCAAGGCUUCGAUCAGUAGCUGGUCUGAGAGGAUGAUCAGCCACACUGGGACUGAGACACGGCCCAGACUCCUACGGGAGGCAGCAGUGGGGAAUUUUCCGCAAUGGGCGAAAGCUGACGGAGCAACGCCGCGUGAGGGACGAAGGCCUCUGGGCUGUAAACCUCUUUUCUCAAGGAAGAAGAUAUGACGGUACUUGAGGAAUAAGCCACGGCUAAUUCCGUGCCAGCAGCCGCGGUAAUACGGGAGUGGCAAGCGUUAUCCGGAAUUAUUGGGCGUAAAGCGUCCGCAGGCGGCUUUUCAAGUCUGCUGUUAAAACGUGGAGCUUAACUCCAUCAUGGCAGUGGAAACUGAAAGGCUUGAGUAUGGUAGGGGCAGAGGGAAUUCCCGGUGUAGCGGUGAAAUGCGUAGAUAUCGGGAAGAACACCAGUGGCGAAGGCGCUCUGCUGGGCCAUUACUGACGCUCAUGGACGAAAGCCAGGGGAGCGAAAGGGAUUAGAUACCCCUGUAGUCCUGGCCGUAAACGAUGAACACUAGGUGUCGGGGGAAUCGACCCCUUCGGUGUCGUAGCUAACGCGUUAAGUGUUCCGCCUGGGGAGUACGCACGCAAGUGUGAAACUCAAAGGAAUUGACGGGGGCCCGCACAAGCGGUGGAGUAUGUGGUUUAAUUCGAUGCAACGCGAAGAACCUUACCAGGGUUUGACAUCCUGCGAACCUCUUAGAAAUUUGAGGGUGCCUUCGGGAAUGCAGUGACAGGUGGUGCAUGGCUGUCGUCAGCUCGUGUCGUGAGAUGUUGGGUUAAGUCCCGCAACGAGCGCAACCCACGUUUUUAGUUGCCAGCAUUUAGUUGGGCACUCUAGAAAGACCGCCGGUGAUAAACCGGAGGAAGGUGUGGAUGACGUCAAGUCAUCAUGCCCCUUACACCCUGGGCUACACACGUACUACAAUGCUACGGACAAAGGGCAGCAAACUCGCGAGAGCUAGCAAAUCCCAUAAACCGUGGCUCAGUUCAGAUCGUAGGCUGCAACUCGCCUACGUGAAGUAGGAAUCGCUAGUAAUCGCAGGUCAGCAUACUGCGGUGAAUACGUUCCCGGGCCUUGUACACACCGCCCGUCACACCAUGGAAGUUGGCCAUGCCCGAAGUCGUUACUCCAACCCUUGUGGAGGAGGACGCCGAAGGUGGGGCUAAUGACU
rnacentral:rRNA from 1 species